rnacentral:rRNA from 1 species
AUUGAACGCUGGCGGCAGGCUUAACACAUGCAAGUCGAACGGUAGCAGGAGAAAGCUUGCUUUCUUGCUGACGAGUGGCGGACGGGUGAGUAAUGCUUGGGAAUCUGGCUUAUGGAGGGGGAUAACUACGGGAAACUGUAGCUAAUGCCGCGUAAUAUCGAAAGAUUAAAGUGUGGGACCUUCGGGCCACAUGCCAUAAGAUGAGCCCAAGUGGGAUUAGGUAGUUGGUGGGGUAAAGGCCUACCAAGCCGACGAUCUCUAGCUGGUCUGAGAGGAUGACCAGCCACACUGGAACUGAGACACGGUCCAGACUCCUACGGGAGGCAGCAGUGGGGAAUAUUGCGCAAUGGGGGGAACCCUGACGCAGCCAUGCCGCGUGAAUGAAGAAGGCCUUCGGGUUGUAAAGUUCUUUCGGUAUUGAGGAAGGGAUGUGUGCUAAUAGUGCACGUCAUUGACGUUAAAUACAGAAGAAGCACCGGCUAACUCCGUG